rnacentral:rRNA from 1 species
GAUGAACGCUGGCGGCGUGCCUAAUACAUGCAAGUCGAGCGAACAAACGAGGAGCUUGCUCCUCUGACGUUAGCGGCGGACGGGUGAGUAACACGUGGAUAACCUACCUAUAAGACUGGGAUAACUUCGGGAAACCGGAGCUGAUACCGGAUAAUAUAUUGAACCGCAUGGUUCAAUAGUGAAAGACGGUUUUGCUGUCACUUAUAGAUGGAUCCGCGCCGCAUUAGCUAGUUGGUAAGGUAACGGCUUACCAAGGCAACGAUGCGUAGCCGACCUGAGAGGGUGAUCGGCCACACUGGAACUGAGACACGGUCCAGACUCCUACGGGAGGCAGCAGUAGGGAAUCUUCCGCAAUGGGCGAAAGCCUGACGGAGCAACGCCGCGUGAGUGAUGAAGGUCUUCGGAUCGUAAAACUCUGUUAUUAGGGAAGAACAAAUGUGUAAGUAACUAUGCACGUCUUGACGGUACCUAAUCAGAAAGCCACGGCUAACUACGUG